rnacentral:rRNA from 1 species
UACGUAGGGUGCAAGCGUUAAUCGGAAUUACUGGGCGUAAAGCGUGCGCAGGCGGUUUUGUAAGUCUGUCGUGAAAGCCCCGGGCUUAACCUGGGAAUUGCGAUGGAGACUGCAAGGCUUGAAUCUGGCAGAGGGGGGUAGAAUUCCAUGUGUAGCAGUGAAAUGCGUAGAGAUGUGGAGGAACACCGAUGGCGAAGGCAGCCCCCUGGGUCAAGAUUGACGCUCAUGCACGAAAGCGUGGGGAGCAAACAGG